GGACUACAGGGGUUUCUAAUCCCGUUCGCUCCCCUAGCUUUCGCGCCUCAGCGUCAGUAGAGGUCCAGCACGUCGCUUUCGCCACCGGCGUUCCUUCCGAUAUCAACGCAUUUCACCGCUCCACCGGAAGUUCCACAUGCCCCUACCUCCCUCUAGACAGUCAGUAUCAAGGGCAGUUUUCCGGUUGAGCCGAAAGAUUUCACCCCUGACUUGACCAUCCGCCUACGCGCCCUUUAAGCCCAGUGAUUCCGAACAACGUUUGCACGGUUCGUCUUACCGCGGCUGCUGGCAC
rnacentral:rRNA from 1 species